UACAUGUGGGGCAAGCGUUGUUCGGAAUUACUGGGCAUAAAGGGUGCGUAGGCGGUUUGUUAAGUCACUGGUGAAAGUUUUCGGCCCAACCGGAAAAUUGCCUGUGAUACUGGCGAACUUGAGUGCGUGAGGGGUGGGGGGAACGAGCAGUGUAGCGGUGAAAUGCGUAGAUAUUGCUCGGAAGGCCGGAGCCGAAGGGGCCCCACUGGUACGUAACUGACGCUGAGGCACGAAAGCGUGGGGGAGCAAACAGG
rnacentral:rRNA from 1 species